UACGUAGGGGGCUAGCGUUGUCCGGAAUCAUUGGGCGUAAAGAGCGUGUAGGCGGUCCGGUAAGUCCGCUGUGAAAGUCGGGGGCUCAACCCUCGAAUGCCGGUGGAUACUGUCGGGCUAGAGUACGGAAGAGGCGAGUGGAAUUCCUGGUGUAGCGGUGAAAUGCGCAGAUAUCAGGAGGAACACCAAUUGCGAAGGCAGCUCGCUGGGACGUUACUGACGCUGGAGACGCGAAAGCGUGGGAGCAAACAGG
rnacentral:rRNA from 1 species